rnacentral:rRNA from 1 species
UAAGACAGAGGAGCCAAGCGUUGUCCGGACUGACUGGGCGUAAAGCGCACGCAGGCGGUGCGGCAAGUGCGGGGUGAAAGCGGUCGGCUCAACCGACCGAGGCCCCUCAGACUGCCGCGCUGGAGCCAUGCAGAGGGUGGUGGAAUUGCCGGUGUAGUGGUGAAAUGCGUAGAGAUCGGCAGGAACACCGAGGGGGAAGCCAGCCACCUGGGCAUGCGCUGACGCUGAGGUGCGACAGCGUGGGGAGCGAACUGGAUUAGAUACCCAGGUAGUCCACGCUGUAAACGAUGGACGCUCGGCAUGUGCGCGCUAUCAACGCGCGUGGGUGCCUCAGCUAACGCGGUAAGCGUCCCGCCUGGGAACUACGAGCGCAAGCUUA